rnacentral:rRNA from 1 species
UACGCAGGGUGCAAGCGUUAAUCGGAAUUACUGGGCGUAAAGCGUGCGCAGGCGGUUUUGUAAGUCAGAUGUGAAAUCCCCGGGCUUAACCUGGGAACUGCGUUUGAAACUACAAGGCUAGAGUGUGGCAGAGGGGGGUGGAAUUCCACGUGUAGCAGUGAAAUGCGUAGAGAUGUGGAGGAACACCGAUGGCGAAGGCAGCCCCCUGGGUUAACACUGACGCUCAGGCACGAAAGCGUGGGGAGCAAACAGG